UCAGACGAUGCGUCAUGCAUAUCAAUAAGCGGAGGAAAAGAAACUAACAAGGAUUCCCCUAGUAACGGCGAGUGAAGCGGGAAGAGCUCAAAUUUGAAAUCUUGAAGGGUUUCCCUUACGAAUUGUAGUUUGAAAGAAGUGUUUUCUGUUGAGGUUUUGGUAAAAGUUCUUUGGAAUAGGACAUCAUAGAGGGUGAGAAUCCCGUAUUUGACCUUUACUUUCAACUUUGUGAUACACUUUCAAAGAGUCGGAUUGUUUGGGAAUGCAGUCCAAAAUGGGUGGUAAAUUUCAUCUAAAGCUAAAUAUUGGCGAGAGACCGAUAGCGAACAAGUACCGUGAGGGAAAGAUGAAAAGAACUUUGAAAAGAGAGUUAAACAGUACGUGAAAUUGUCAAAAGGGAAGCGUUUGACAUCCAGUGUUGUUUUUCUGAAAAUCAAUUAAAGAACUGUUUAUGCUAAGCUGUUUAGACUUUAUCAGCUAUCUGUUUAGUUUUGAGCUUUUCUUUAAUGCACUUUUCAGUUAACAAGUCAACAUCAAUUUCUUUUGCUGUAAAAAAGCUUGAGGAAGGUGGCUUGAGAUUCGUCUUAAGUGUUUAUAGCCUCUUGCCUAUGCAGUCGGAGAGAUUGAGGUCUGCAGCGUAGAUCCCUUCGGGGCUAAAUGCAUUUGUGCUAAGUUAUAGCAUUUUAUAGACAACUUGUUGACUAUGAUUUGUCUUGUAGCUUACUCGCUUAUGUUAUUUUACCUACGCUUAGGAUGUUGACACACGCGCGUGCUCG
rnacentral:rRNA from 1 species